rfam:Sarcophilus harrisii ctg7180002256117, whole genome shotgun sequence.
GAUUGGUUAGCUCAUUUGGUUAGAGCGGGGUGCUAAUGAGGCCAAGGUCAUGGGUUCAAUCCCUAUACAGGCCA